CGAUUACUUCUCUCUUUUGAAGUUGCGCGCCAAAGCCCGCUGCUUUGACAGUCAGCUUGUUUUGACAAGUUGAUUUCUCAUUUUUAUCUUACUUUGUCUAUUUAUCGUUUAUAAAUCGUUUAUGGAUUCACAGUCAUAUAUGCCCGUACCUCCGGGUAUCGGGAUGGAGGAGAAUUAUUUCUCCCUGGAUGAUAUUUUGUUGUCUCAGGAGAGGCUGCCGAGCAGGACAGAGUGCGCGUUCCCACGGCUCGGGUUCCUUGAGAAAUCCAGCGAGAAUCGAGAUAUACCCGAGGGUAAUAAGAUGGAGAUGCCGCUGUGGCUGGCCAAGGGUCUGUAUGAGAAGAAGAGGCGAGUUCUGUCCGUGGAGCUGCCCAAGGUCUAUCGUGAGGGUUGGAGGACUGUGUUUGGAGCAGAUCCCACUGUCGUGGACCUUCACAAAAUGGGGCCCUAUUACUAUGGCUUAGGUUCCCAGAUGCUGCAUUUUGACAGUCCUGAAAACCCAGAGAUUGCUCAGACUGUACUUCAGACCUUCAUCGGCCGUUUUCGCCGGACCAUGGACUCGUCCCAGAACGCCUACAAUGAGGACACAUCAGCGCUGGUGGAGCGUUUGGACUAUUUAGAGAGAAGCUUGUUUAAGGCCGGACAAAGUGGACUCAAUAGUUUCCAGCAGUGGGAAAAAGGCCGGUCCUCUCACCUCACUGCUUCUAGUCUAGUUGUCAACUACAGAAAGAGAAAAAUCACCGACCUCCAGACCUAAGAGGUGAUCUUAGACAACAUACGGACUGGAGUAAGAGCGGUGUAGAGGUUAUUUAGAGUUUCUUGUGAUUGGACAUGAUGGAAAGUUAGGGCAAGUGUCCAGAAGGUUGCUGGUUCAAUGCCUGCAAGGUCAUGAGUCAUGUGCUGUCCCAUCUGAGGCCCUACAGCAAGAUCUAAGCAUCUGGU